rnacentral:rRNA from 1 species
UGGGGAAUAUUGGACAAUGGGCGCAAGCCUGAUCCAGCCAUGCCGCGUGAGUGAUGAAGGCCUUAGGGUUGUAAAGCUCUUUUGUCCGGGACGAUAAUGACGGUACCGGAAGAAUAAGCCCCGGCUAACUUCGUGCCAGCGGCCGCGGUAAUACGAAGGGGGCUAGCGUUGCUCGGAAUCACUGGGCGUAAAGGGCGCGUAGGCGGCCGAUUAAGUCGGGGGUGAAAGCCUGUGGCUCAACCACAGAAUUGCCUUCGAUACUGGUUGGCUUGAGACCGGAAGAGGACAGCGGAACUGCGAGUGUAGAGGUGAAAUUCGUAGAUAUUCGCAAGAACACCAGUGGCGAAGGCGGCUGUCUGGUCCGGUUCUGACGCUGAGGCGCGAAAGCGUGGGGAGCAAAC